rnacentral:lncRNA from 1 species
AUGAACGUUGCAAUUCCUACCUGCAAAUUACCUACCUUGAAUGCUAUGGAUUUAAAAGGUCAUUACUUCAACUACUUUACACGAACAUUGCAAUUCCUACCUGCAAAUUACCUACCUUGGGAAUGCUAUGGAUUUAAAAGGUCAUUACUUCAAAUAUAUUACAUGAAAGUUGCAAUUCCUACCUGCAAAUUACCUACCUUGGGAAUGCUAUGGAUUUAAAACGUCAUUACUUCAAAUAUAUUACAUGAAAGUUGCAAUUCCUACCUGCAAAUUACCUACCUUGGGAAUGCUAUGAAUUUAAAAGGUCAUUACUUCAAAUACUUUACAUGAACGUUGCAAUUCCUACCUGCAAAUUACCUACCUUGGGAAUGCUAUGGAUUGAAAAGGUCAUUACUCCAAAUAUAUUACAUGAAAGUUGCAAUUCCUACCUGCAAAUUACCUACCUUGGGAAUGCUAUGGAUUUAAAACGUCAUUACUUCAAAUACCUUACAUGAAAGUUGCAAUUCCUACCUGCAAAUUACCUACCUUGGGAAUGCUAUGGAUUUAAAACGUCAUUACUUCAAAUAACCGUAUUUCUUCGAGUGUUGGUCUGUGAAAUUCGCACAUAUGGGUAUCCACUGUGCCUGCGCAAGACUUCGGAACAUUCUAGAGCUUGAAAGAGCAGCAAAAUGGAGGUAGCCCCGCUCCUUCUCCCCAUAAUAUAACCCCGGGGGCGGGGCUACGUCUCAAUUCUCAGCCGCCAAGAUAGCAACUGAAAACAAGGUAUGACCCAGCGGGGAGGAAGGGCGGGGCGGUGCGAAUUUCACAGAUCGACACCCAAAGAAAUACGGUUACAGGUAAGCAACUUAUACUUCUUCUACGUGCUGUCUGUGAAAUACGCACAUAUGGGUGACUAGAAAGCUACUAACCUGGAGGUGGGUCAUGCCACGCAGGAAAAAAGUACGGCCCUGCCAAAAGCAGCCUCUUUCUUCACCUGGAUAUCCAGCUUGUAAUGAGCCGCAAAGGUGGAAGGCAUCGACCAGGUAGCCCCCUUACAGAUGUCCUCUAGGGGAACGCCAUGAAGAAAGGCUUGAGAGUUAAACAGUGCCCUGGUAG